GUCCUCGUAGCUCAGUCGGAUAGAGCAACGGAUUCCUAAUCCGUAGGCCGUGCGUUCAAAUCGCGCCGGGGACACCA
rnacentral:tRNA from 1 species